rnacentral:rRNA from 1 species
GUACCUUUUGUAUAAUGGGUCAGCGACUUAUAUUCUGUAGCAAGGUUAACCGAAUAGGGGAGCCGAAGGGAAACCGAGUCUUAACUGGGCGUUAAGUUGCAGGGUAUAGACCCGAAACCCGGUGAUCUAGCCAUGGGCAGGUUGAAGGUUGGGUAACACUAACUGGAGGACCGAACCGACUAAUGUUGAAAAAUUAGCGGAUGACUUGUGGCUGGGGGUGAAAGGCCAAUCAAACCGGGAGAUAGCUGGUUCUCCCCGAAAGCUAUUUAGGUAGCGCCUCGUGAAUUCAUCUCCGGGGGUAGAGCACUGUUUCGGCAAGGGGGUCAUCCCGACUUACCAACCCGAUGCAAACUGCGAAUACCGGAGAAUGUUAUCACGGGAGACACACGGCGGGUGCUAACGUCCGUCGUGAAGAGGGAAACAACCCAGACCGCCAGCUAAGGUCCCAAAGUCAUGGUUAAGUGGGAAACGAUGUGGGAAGGCCCAGACAGCCAGGAUGUUGGCUUAGAAGCAGCCAUCAUUUAAAGAAAGCGUAAUAGCUCACUGGUCGAGUCGGCCUGCGCGGAAGAUGUAACGGGGCUAAACCAUGCACCGAAGCUGCGGCAGCGACGCUGAUGCGUUGUUGGGUAGGGGAGCGUUCUGUAAGCCUGCGAAGGUGUGCUGUGAGGCAUGCUGGAGGUAUCAGAAGUGCGAAUGCUGACAUAAGUAACGAUAAAGCGGGUGAAAAGCCCGCUCGCCGGAAGACCAAGGGUUCCUGUCCAACGUUAAUCGGGGCAGGGUGAGUCGACCCCUAAGGCGAGGCCGAAAGGCGUAGUCGAUGGGAAACAGGUUAAUAUUCCUGUACUUGGUGUUACUGCGAAGGGGGGACGGAGAAGGCUAUGUUGGCCGGGCGACGGUUGUCCCGGUUUAAGCGUGUAGGCUGGUUUUCCAGGCAAAUCCGGAAAAUCAAGGCUGAGGCGUGAUGACGAGGCACUGCGGUGCUGAAGCAACAAAUGCCCUGCUUCCAGGAAAAGCCUCUAAGCAUCAGGUAACAUCAAAUCGUACCCCAAACCGACACAGGUGGUCAGGUAGAGAAUACCAAGGCGCUUGAGAGAACUCGGGUGAAGGAACUAGGCAAAAUGGUGCCGUAACUUCGGGAGAAGGCACGCUGAUAUGUAGGUGAAGUCCCUCGCGGAUGGAGCUGAAAUCAGUCGAAGAUACCAGCUGGCUGCAACUGUUUAUUAAAAACACAGCACUGUGCAAACACGAAAGUGGACGUAUACGGUGUGACGCCUGCCCGGUGCCGGAAGGUUAAUUGAUGGGGUUAGCGCAAGCGAAGCUCUUGAUCGAAGCCCCGGUAAACGGCGGCCGUAACUAUAACGGUCCUAAGGUAGCGAAAUUCCUUGUCGGGUAAGUUCCGACCUGCACGAAUGGCGUAAUGAUGGCCAGGCUGUCUCCACCCGAGACUCAGUGAAAUUGAACUCGCUGUGAAGAUGCAGUGUACCCGCGGCAAGACGGAAAGACCCCGUGAACCUUUACUAUAGCUUGACACUGAACAUUGAGCCUUGAUGUGUAGGAUAGGUGGGAGGCUUUGAAGUGUGGACGCCAGUCUGCAUGGAGCCGACCUUGAAAUACCACCCUUUAAUGUUUGAUGUUCUAACGUUGACCCGUAAUCCGGGUUGCGGACAGUGUCUGGUGGGUAGUUUGACUGGGGCGGUCUCCUCCUAAAGAGUAACGGAGGAGCACGAAGGUUGGCUAAUCCUGGUCGGACAUCAGGAGGUUAGUGCAAUGGCAUAAGCCAGCUUGACUGCGAGCGUGACGGCGCGAGCAGGUGCGAAAGCAGGUCAUAGUGAUCCGGUGGUUCUGAAUGGAAGGGCCAUCGCUCAACGGAUAAAAGGUACUCCGGGGAUAACAGGCUGAUACCGCCCAAGAGUUCAUAUCGACGGCGGUGUUUGGCACCUCGAUGUCGGCUCAUCACAUCCUGGGGCUGAAGUAGGUCCCAAGGGUAUGGCUGUUCGCCAUUUAAAGUGGUACGCGAGCUGGGUUUAGAACGUCGUGAGACAGUUCGGUCCCUAUCUGCCGUGGGCGCUGGAGAACUGAGGGGGGCUGCUCCUAGUACGAGAGGACCGGAGUGGACGCAUCACUGGUGUUCGGGUUGUCAUGCCAAU